rnacentral:tRNA from 1 species
CCUUCGGUAGCUCAGUUGGUAGUGCGGAGGACUGUAGAUCCUUAGGUCGCUGGUUCAAAUCCGGCUCAAAGGA